GGGAGCGGAGGGGGCCCGGUGGCCCUCGCGGUCUUCAAAACCGUUGCGGGGCGGCCCGCGUCGUCCUGGGUGGGUUCGACUCCCAUGCGCUCCCGCCA
rnacentral:tRNA from 1 species